CGCAGUUAUUUGCAAUACUCUGGUAUAGACAAUAAACACACAAACCUAUGAAAGCUCUUAAUUUAAAUCCUACUUUUGUUCCUUAAUCUUCACAAGGUGUAGAGAAAGCCUGAGAAAGCGUGGAUGUCAAACAAGCCAUCCGUAGCCUGGAACUAUCCCACAUAAUGUGCUUAGUGGUCUGCUGCUUGUUCAAGGCAAAAUUGAGGCUUGCAGCAUGACAUUGUCUGAAGAUUUCACAGAUACCAAAGAGCUCAGCCCCCCUGCGGCCUGUGGGGCAGAAAGUGCUGUUCUGGUGGAGCACCAGAGGAGCAGAGAAUAUCAACCAGGUCUCCUCCUUCAUAGUCCCAUAUUUACAUUAACAAUCUUCUUUUUGUAUGUUGUAGUGAAAUUGGUGCUGCUCUAAAUGCAUGAGAAAAAUGAGGUUUGUGACAGGAAGGUGAAGCUCAGGAGAGGACUGUACCAACACGGAUGGUCUGGAUAAUAACCUGUGCUGGUGUGGGAACAUUUUCAGGGAUCUGGUUCCCCAUUUUAAAUGACAUAUCUUUAAAACGGGACUGACAAACCUGGCUGUGUAAAGGUUUCAUUUUUCUUUCUCUUUUUAUAAAUAUUCAAAAAUCACUGGUUUUCUUUCUGGGUAAAGAUUAUAUAUACCUUAUUCCAGACUUUUUUGUAUUCUUUCUCCUUGUGCUUCCUUUUAGCCAUGUCAGUAACACUCAUGGCUGUAGCUGUGUUUCUGACAGAAGCCUGAGGGGUGCACACACCGUUUGCCUCUGUGGGCACAUCUUUCCCAGCAACUUUUAUCCUCUUUGCUCCUGUGCUUCCUACAAAUAAUCAAAAAGUAGUUUUCCCUUUUUUUUUUUUUUUAAACUGUUAUUUCUGUGCCCAGUUCUUAUAUCUGAGAUGAUUUUCCUUGAAAAUCUAAUUUGACUAAAGACUGCUCCCUAAAUUUCUACGAUCUCAUCUCGUGACACGGUAGCGCUCCUAUCAAAGAGUAUACGAGGCUCGUGCUGUCAGUCUGGAUUCAGAGACGUCCAAGUCAGCUCCAGAAACACAGAGUAAGGGAGGGAGGUGGUCCAGCGCUGUCCGUCCACAUGGACACACUCAUUUCAUGAAAGGAUGAUUCUGAGUCUCAAUACCUGGUUACAAGGGGAAAACUUUAACCGAAACAGUUAUCCUCGGGCACUUGCCGGUGCCUCGCGAUCCCUAUCAUAAACGAUGCAAUGCAUUCCUAUAACUGUCUGUAUAACUGCUUGCAAUUCAGUCCCUGGAGUCUGGCUGAAGCCUUCCGCAGAAAGGAAAUAACGAGUCUGAUUUAGGAAAGAAAUCAGAAGAAAUAGCUACCACUGAUAAGAAGUUAUUGAAAGCGAAGCCCAGGAUCCCCUGCCAGCUGGCAUGCUGACUUAUCAACCAGAUUUUCAUCAAACGGAUUUGGAUCAUUUUGUAGUGAGAUGCAGGAGUGUACGCUUGGGCUGAAAUAACUAAUCAGCUCAAGUUUUGUGUUAAAUAACUACUCAGCUACAGUUACUGCGUCAGUCCUGC